GCGUCGAUGGCGCGGGUGUGGGCCGCUUGGAACGCGGCGGCGCGCUCGCGCAAGUUCUGCUGGAUCUCGUCCAGCGUCGCCGCG
rnacentral:tRNA from 1 species